UAGGCAGAAGCCUGUUGGUUGUGGCAUCUAACUGUUAAUUAGAAGUUUAUGGGAUCGAAGCCCAUCUGUCUAG
rnacentral:tRNA from 2 species